GAGUUCCCACCGAGAGAUACAGAGCAGCCGAGGAUUUACAGGCACCGGAGCUGUCGUGCAUGCACCCAGAGAUGAGGAGAAAUUAAGGGGUGAAAAAAAGGCAGAUAUACACCGGGUCUGCUGAUGGAGACUUUAACUUAUUCCACUUUACACGCGUUCUGCAAGAAGAUGUGAAGGAAGAAAAAUGUGAAGAUUUCGAUCAGAAGAAGAAGCUGAAUGGAUCAUAAUCCAGGAUUUCUUUUAACACGCAAACUGCAGAGGAAAAGUUUUGCUGUGACUCUGCCUGUCUGGAGGCGAAGAACUGCAACACAUUCAGGAGUUCGCCAACAAACAAACGGAUGCAAUUAAACACACUCGCCUUCAGAUCAUCAAUGAGGAAGCAAAGUCAAGACUGGUGGAAAAACCGACAAGGGCAAAUGUAAGACGGGAGAAGACUGUGCUGCCUCAAGGUUAAACUUGAACUGCGUUAAGAGCCAUACUUCACACAAUGUGGAUAUUUUUUUGCAUCUUCUACAAACACACAUCACUCGCUGUUUUUUUAUAUUAAACAUCCUCAUUUUUACAACCUGAUAUAGCUGCUAAUUGAUGUUAUAUUUUGGUAUCUUUGCUAAAAGAAAAUGUUUCCUCUGUUUCUUC